GGGCCAGUAGCUCAGUUGGCUAGAGCACCCGGUUUGCAUCCGGGAGGUCAUGGGUUCAAGUCCCAUCUGGUCCA
rfam:Candidatus Thrbacteria bacterium RIFCSPLOWO2_02_FTLL_48_12 rifcsplowo2_02_scaffold_58242, whole genome shotgun sequence.